AGGGUACACAGCGCAGAAUGAAGAAGCACAGAGGAAGUUGGGGCGAGGAGAAGGAAGCUUGGAAGGAAGACAGAGGUUCUAGGCCAUCUUUACAUCUUCUUGCGUGAAGGUUCAUGCCUGACUGCUGGUUUCAAGUCCUUCUUAUCAUCCAGGAAGGAAAAGACCUGAUUAGAGUACAUCAUGAGAAAUGCUGAACUGGAUGAAGCACAAGCUGGAAUCAAAAUUGCCAGG